rnacentral:rRNA from 1 species
UACGUAGGGUGCAAGCGUUAAUCGGAAUUACUGGGCGUAAAGCGUGCGCAGGCGGUGAUGUAAGACAGAUGUGAAAUCCCCCGGGCUCAACCUGGGAACUGCAUUUGUGACUGCAUCGCUGGAGUGCGGCAGAGGGGGAUGGAAUUCCGCGUGUAGCAGUGAAAUGCGUAGAUAUGCGGAGGAACACCGAUGGCGAAGGCAAUCCCCCUGGGCCUGCACUGACGCUCAUGCACGAAAGCGUGGGGAGCAAACAGG